AUUGAACGCUGGCGGCAGGCCUAACACAUGCAAGUCGAACGGUAACAGGAAGAAGCUUGCUUCUUUGCUGACGAGUGGCGGACGGGUGAGUAAUGUCUGGGAAACUGCCUGAUGGAGGGGGAUAACUACUGGAAACGGUAGCUAAUACCGCAUAACGUCGCAAGACCAAAAAGGGGGACCUUCGGGCCUCUUGCCAUCGGAUGUGCCCAGAUGGGAUUAGCUAGUAGGUGGGGUAACGGCUCACCUAGGCGACGAUCCCUAGCUGGUCUGAGAGGAUGACCAGCCACACUGGAACUGAGACACGGUCCAGACUCCUACGGGAGGCAGCAGUGGGGAAUAUUGCACAAUGGGCGCAAGCCUGAUGCAGCCAUGCCGCGUGUAUGAAGAAGGCCUUCGGGUUGUAAAGUACUUUCAGCGGGGAGGAAGGGAGUAAAGUUAAUACCUGUGCACAUUGACGGUACCCGAAGAAGAAGCACCGGCUAACUCCGUG
rnacentral:rRNA from 1 species